CUAGCUCUCUGGCAGGGGAGAGACCAUGAUCAAGAAGGUGGUUCUCCCAGGAUGAGGCUAACCCAUAGCACUUUGAGUGUGCUAAUGCCUGUGAUGUCCCCAAAUGCGGGGAUUUGCAAAAUUUGUGGCAAUGGGGGACUGUGUUCGCGCUCUCCCUGA